rnacentral:rRNA from 1 species
AUUGAACGCUGGCGGCAGGCCUAACACAUGCAAGUCGAACGGUAACAGGAAGAAGCUUGCUUCUUUGCUGACGAGUGGCGGACGGGUGAGUAAUGUCUGGGAAACUGCCUGAUGGAGGGGGAUAACUACUGGAAACGGUAGCUAAUACCGCAUAACGUCGCAAGACCAAAGAGGGGGACCUUCGGGCCUCUUGCCAUCGGAUGUGCCCAGAUGGGAUUAGCUAGUAGGUGGGUUAACGGCUCACCUAGGCGACGAUCCCUAGCUGGUCUGAGAGGAUGACCAGCCACACUGGAACUGAGACACGGUCCAGACUCCUACGGGAGGCAGCAGUGGGGAAUAUUGCACAAUGGGCGCAAGCCUGAUGCAGCCAUGCCGCGUGUAUGAAGAAGGCCUUCGGGUUGUAAAGUACUUUCAGCGGGGAGGAAGGGAGUAAAGUUAAUACCUUUGCUCAUUGACGUUACCCGCAGAAGAAGCACCGGCUAACUCCGUG